rnacentral:lncRNA from 1 species
CUGGAGUUUCUCCUGGACCUCUUACACCUGGGGUUAUCCACAGUGCUGUGCCACAAGUGGAGGGUCCACCAAGAUCCAGAGAGAAAGGGGACCCUGAGACAACGCCCUCGGAAGCCCUGCCAGCAAGUAAGGAGUUAUGAAGGUCCAUUGGUACAGGCACCGAAAGGGUGCCUCAACUCCUGAGAGCGUUGGAUUGGAAUAGAGAAGCUCUGUCUCAAAGGAAAAUACAGAGAAGUUUGAAAGAAACAAGAAAGUGAAAAGCUGUGUGUUUCUUCCAGACUAAUGUGGUUCGAUGCAGCAAGAACCCCUGAAGCAGUGUCCAGGGUGGUCCAGCUUCUAAGACCUUAGGAACAAGGCAGCCUUGCAGACCUUUCCAGCCAGGAUUUCUCGGUCUUCAUAGGAUCCCCAUGGUAUUUCAGCACCCCCUGACAGCAGGAAGUAGUUUGGAGAGAACGACACCCAUAUUCCAAAUAUUGUUUAUAAAAGUUUGUUUUCAUUUAAAUGGGGUUGGUUAUAAAUGGUAAGAACCAGGAAUAUUAGCCACCUAAUAAAGAGAAGUGAGUGAACCUUGAGAGUAAAAAGGCAUAUAGAGAUAUGAGACAGAGAAUUACUAGACAGAUGAUUGUAUAUUUACUUGGGUAUAUUUUAAUAGCCAGGAGAACUGAAGUAAAAAGAAGCAAGAACAGAAGACUUUAGAGUUUAAAAGCUUUGAAAGGUUCCUUCGUUCACAGAAGCCAGCAAGGCAGAUAUAUCCGAGCUGAGCUGUAGCUGAGGAAAUGAAUGGUACGAUGUGCAUACGCACAGCACAGCAGCAAAUAUCUGCUUCUGAAACAGUUAUCAAUGUAAUAGAGACAAAAGACUUGUGUGCCUACUGAGGAUCUGCUCGAUGAAAAAGAAUAGACCAGGCAGAGUGAUUGGGAUGAGUGUGAAAACUUACAAUGUCUCUUCCCCUCCCUCUGUUUUAACUGGUAACACAGAGAGACAAUACCCAAUUGUAAAAUUCAG